rnacentral:lncRNA from 1 species
CGAGAAAGAAUCAAAACCAAAGGCCCUUGAAUAGCUGAAUAAAACAGGGCACGUGAAGUCCCUAUAUAUACAUACACACAGCGCCAACAAUAGCAAGAAAGAGUCCAAAAAUAUCAAGCUAAAAAGACUAAAAGCUAUUACUCCUCCUACUACCACUACUACUCUCUUAUCAUCUCGUGAAAGGCAAGAAUUUGGUUUCGUGCACAUUAAAAAACAAAAGAUAAGAAAAGAAACCAAAAACAACAAGGAAUGUGUAUUCUACACACACACACACACAUACAGAGAGAGAGAGAGAGAGAGGGAUUUAGAGUAGACAAGAGAGAGUAUAAGAUGACAGAGAAGAAUCACGGAUAAGGUGUCGGUUUCUAUGGAAGGCUACUUGUGACUAAAAUUUGCAGAACUGGAAAAGAGGAAUCUGCAGUAUCUGAUGAGUAAAACUACAAAAACAUAGAAUCUAUCUUUUGACAACUGUUGAGAGACAACAACACAGAGCUAUGUAUCUAUUUAAAUAUAAAGUAAG